CUCUGAAGAGAGAGUCAAAGACCGUGAAACCGCUCAGAGUAUAAGCCAAUGGAGUCGGAAGGCAUACCGCGCAAAGGAUUUGCAACUUGGAAGGAAGGGCUGUCAGGCAUGGGGCAUUGAGUUGAUAACCCGCCGACGUGAGGNGGAGAGCGGGGGCGUGAGACUACGGUGUAGCGUCCUCAUCUCCUUUAAAAACCCACGGAUAGUCAAGGCCUAAGGUUGCUGGCGGAACUGCCCACCACGGCUCGUUGUGAGGUCACCCACAGGCUCGACUGUCGAUCGCGUGUUCUCCUCGCUUAGCACUCGAGUGUUGUAGAUCCUCUCCUACGUAGGAGGGGGCAUGACACGCGCGGCGAGGUUCGCAUUCAAAUGAGCCGGACGACGACUGAGAUAAACCUGGUAUGAUCCUCGUGCGACGAGCCGCUUUCUGGCCAGAGCUGUGUCCGGGCCUUCGUCUCAUGUGCCGAGCGAGGCUUACCCUACCGGUGGCGGCUUGAGCCCUCUGUCGUCAUCCUCGUGGUGGCGACACGGUCCUCUCAGCCGGAUACAGCUCUGAGUGGUGUUAAGUCCGAUACCAUCGGUCACGUCUCGAAACACGGGCCAAGGAGUAUAGCAUGUGUGCAAGUCUAAGGGUCUCUCAAAACCCGGAGGCGAAGUGAAAGCAAGGUCGUGGCGGGUGAGCCUUCCUCACGGUUGGCAAAACCUCGUCAGCCGUAGCGUCAUUCGUGGCGCUUGGCUUGAGCGUGAGCUGAUACUACUAUUACGGAUAAGUCCUGAGGUAGUCGCAAGCUCCGGGCUCGCGUAUAGCACUGGUCGCUUGCGGCUGUGUUGCGAGCACCGUGAGCAUGCAUGC
rnacentral:rRNA from 1 species